UACGUAGGGUCCGAGCGUUGUCCGGAAUUAUUGGGCGUAAAGGGCUCGUAGGCGGUUUGUCGCGUCGGGGAGUGAAAACUCAGGGCUCAACCCUGAGCGUGCUUCCGAUACGGGCAGACUAGAGGUAUGCAGGGGAGAACGGAAUUCCUGGUGUAGCGGUGGAAUGCGCAGAUAUCAGGAGGAACACCGGUGGCGAAGGCGGUUCUCUGG
rnacentral:rRNA from 1 species